CAACAAUAUUUGAAAAUGAACAUUAAAUAAGCAGGAAGUAACGCAUUGUGCUUUCUGACAUCACAACUGUGGACUGAAGCCAUCUCAGUGUCUUCUGCUUGUGAAGCCAUUCCUUUAUUUUUAAAUUGGCCCUUCUGAUCUGCAUGGAGGAGCAAAUUGGAUGUGCGGUGUCUCAAUUCUGGUGAACAGAAAUGAU